rnacentral:sRNA from 1 species
CUUGUUGUGGACAAAUGAAAUGGAUAUGAGCAUCCAGAGCACCGGCAGUGGUUAUCAGCCCUUCCCCUGCAAUCGCUUCCGUUCCAGGACCAACAAUGAUGUCAACAUCAGGUUGUAUGUCAGGGUUCCCGGCUUUUCCAACCCCAGCAAUCCGGCCAGAUUUAAUUCCAAUAUCGGCCUUGACGAUGCCCCAAUGGUCGAGGAUUAAGGCGUUCGUGAUCACAACAUCCACCGAUUCUCUGGAAGUUCUUUGGCUCUGCCCCAUUCCAUCCCG